rnacentral:rRNA from 1 species
AAAUUGAAGAGUUUGAUCAUGGCUCAGAUUGAACGCUGGCGGCAGGCCUAACACAUGCAAGUCGAGCGGAAACGAGUUAUCUGAACCUUCGGGGAACGAUAACGGCGUCGAGCGGCGGACGGGUGAGUAAUGCCUAGGAAAUUGCCCUGAUGUGGGGGAUAACCAUUGGAAACGAUGGCUAAUACCGCAUGAUGCCUACGGGCCAAAGAGGGGGACCUUCGGGCCUCUCGCGUCAGGAUAUGCCUAGGUGGGAUUAGCUAGUUGGUGAGGUAAGGGCUCACCAAGGCGACGAUC